AUGUGUUCCAUCGUGUCAUCGUCUCGUCGCUCGUCCUGCUGCUGUCAUGCACGUUGGCGAGCGGCGAGCAAACCCCGCACAAACCACUGGUCACCAAGCUCGCCAAGGACCCCAUCACAUCUCUAUACACCAUCACCAUCAAGGCCGACAAGUCGCCGCUCCUCCUCGACCUCACCGGCCGCUCGUCUGGUCGACGUGCCCACCCCCACCGUCGUCGUCAUCGCACACCACUGUGGCAUGCCAGUCCGGUCCGUGCGGCGGCGCGGCCAGCCAGCAGUGCCCACGCCGCGGCCCGCACGUGGAGCCGGGGUCGGGAUGCGCCUGCGCCUGCAACCCGGUCACCCGCGACUGCUCCACCGGCGGCCUCACGAGCUUCGUCAUGUCGGCCAAGACCACCGACGGCGCCAUGGAGCUUCUUCCGGAAGAGUCGUUCGCCGUAGCCUGCUGAGGUCGCUCCCCGCGGGCGCCACCGGCGUCGCGGGGUUCUCCCGGCGCCCGCUCUCGCUGCCGUCGCAGCUCGCCGCCCAGCGCGGCUUCGGAGGUAAGUUCGCCCUGUGCCUCCCCGACUUCGCGACCUUGGGCUACGGCGACGUGCCUCCGGACCCGUACUUCACCCCGCUCCUCACCAACCCGGUGAACGCUGCCGGCUACUACAUCCCUGUCAAAGGCAUCUCCGUGUCGUGGCACGAGGUCGACGCUCCAGCGGCCCUGCUCCGCGGCGCGCUCGACCUCGACGCCGCCACCGGCCGCGGCGGCGUCGUGCUGAGCACCGCCACGCCGUACAUGAUCAUGCGUCCCGACGUGUUCCGCGCGUUCGCCAAGGCGUUCGACGCCGCCAUUACUAGGGGGAAGAAUCCGACGAGCACGGUGAAGCGGGUGGUGCCGGCGCCGAAGCCGUUCGAGCUGUGCUACAAGGGCGGGUUCCCGACGACGCUGAAGCGGCCGGUGAGCCGCGACGUGCCGCGCAUCAACCUGGAGCUGGGCGGCGGCGCCACGGGGAACUGGACGCUGUUCAACGACAACUACAUGGUGCAGGUGGACGGGGCGACGUGCCUGGCGAUCCUGCCGGUGGGGCCCGGCGGCAUGCCGGUGGACGGCGAGCCGGCGGUGGUGAUCGGCGGGAAGCAGCUGGAGAACAACCUGCUGGUGUUCGACCUGGAGAAACAGGUGCUCGACUUCCGCAUGUCCAGUUGCAGAAGCACCAGUUUCUUCGGAAACUAA
rnacentral:rRNA from 1 species